rnacentral:rRNA from 1 species
GACGAACGCUGGCGGCGUGCUUAACACAUGCAAGUCGAACGCUGAAGACCUGGCUUUUGUUGGGUUGGAUGAGUGGCGAACGGGUGAGUAACACGUGAGUAACCUGCCCUCUUCUUUGGGAUAACGCCCGGAAACGGGUGCUAAUACUGGAUAUUCACUGAUCUUCGCAUGGGGGUUGGUGGAAAGGUUUGUUCUGGUGGGGGAUGGGCUCGCGGCCUAUCAGCUUGUUGGGGGGGUGAUGGCCUACCAAGGCUUUGACGGGUAGCCGGCCUGAGAGGGUGACCGGUCACAUUGGGACUGAGAUACGGCCCAGACUCCUACGGGAGGCAGCAGUGGGGAAUAUAGCACAAUGGGCGAAAGCCUGAUGCAGCGACGCCGCGUGAGGGAUGGAGGCCUUCGGGUUGUAAACCUCUUUCGCUCAUGGUCAAGCCGCAACUGUGGGUUGUGGUGAGGGUAGUGGGUAAAGAAGCGCCGGCUAACUACGUG